rnacentral:rRNA from 1 species
CGUGUAGGCGGUGACAUAAGUCUGGUGUGAAAGACCUCGGCUCAACCGAGGGAGCGCGCUGGAAACUGUGUUACUAGAGUGAUGGAGGGGGAACUGGAAUUCCAGGUGUAGGGGUGAAAUCUGUAGAGAUCUGGAAGAACACCGGAGGCGAAGGCGAGUUCCUGGCCAUCUACUGACGCUGAGGCGCGAAAGCGUGGGGAGCGAACA